UACGGAGGGUGCGAGCGUUGUCCGGAAUCAUUGGGCGUAAAGGGCGCGUAGGUGGCCCGGUCAGUCCGUGGUGAAAGCGCGGGGCUCAACCCCGCGUCGGCCGUGGAUACUCUCGGGCUUGAGCUUACUAGAGGCAGAUGGAAUUCCGGGUGUAGCGGUGGAAUGCGUAGAGAUCCGGAAGAACACCGGUGGCGAAGGCGGUCUGCUGGGGUAAUGCUGACACUGAUGCGCGACAGCGUGGGGAGCAAACAGG
rnacentral:rRNA from 1 species